GACGAACGCUGGCGGCGUGCUUAACACAUGCAAGUCGAACGGAAAGGCCCUGCUUUUGUGGGGUGCUCGAGUGGCGAACGGGUGAGUAACACGUGAGUAACCUGCACUUGACUUUGGGAUAACUUCAGGAGAAUGGGGCUCAUAUCGGAUAGGAGCUACUGCUGCAUGGGGGGGGUUGGAAAGUUUCGGCGGUUGGGGAUGGACUCGCGGCUUAUCAGCUUGUUGGUGGGGUAGUGGCUUACCAAGGCUAUGACGGGUAGCCGGCCUGAGAGGGUGACCGGCCACAUUGCGACUGCGGUACGGCGCAGACGCCUACGUGAGGCAGCAGUGGGGAACAUUGCGCAAUGGGCGGACGCCUGAGGCAGCAACCUCGCGUGCGUGAUAACCUCUUUCGGGUUAUAAACCGCUUUCUCCUGUGACGAAGCGUUAGUGACGGUAAUUGGUAAAAAAGCACCGGCUAACUACGUG
rnacentral:rRNA from 1 species